UAAACGUUCUCCCAAUGGAAGUAAUACAUCACUUGUUGUAAGACAUGCUAAAUUAAAAAUCAAUGGAAAAAAUGAAACAUAUUUCAUCAUUAUACUAACACAUGAAUUAAGAGGCAGAAAGUUUCCAACUUGGACCACAUAGAGAAUUUAAAAGGUCAUAUUCAAUUAUACAUGAGGGAGAAUUACAAUUCACUUGACAAAUGAGUACCUUGCGAAACAUAUUUUCUGUAUAAAACGCUUUACAUUCUAAGAAAGAAUUGCCCUGAAAAUUGACAUAUAAGCUCGAAUUAGAUACCAGACUACAGAUUGUAAUGAAUCCACAACGUCCCCGAUAACUUUGGAGUAAGAUUGGUUUUCAUUAAAAUCUACAGAUCUUCCUGCCUUUGAAACUUACAGAAACAACUCUCAACUUGUGAUUUUUUUUCCUGCAGACAAAAGGAAUAAAGAUGCUGUUUUGUAGUACGUAGGUGCAUGGCUUGGUGCAAGUUUCAAAGCUGAAGUUCAAGCUAACUAUGGGCUGUUCACAUAAUUAUCCCUCUUUCUUAAUUUUUUUACUUUCUGUGACGAAAUGACCCACUUCCUCUGAGAAACAUUGACAAUCCAGGAAUAAAUCAGCAAAUUUGUAGGCAAGAUAAAAAUAAUAACACAAAUAAUCAUUAAUCCACUAUCCACAUUGCAAUUUCCGUUCGAACAAAAUAGGAUACAAAAUUCAAGAAUAUUCCAUACCUGUCAUAAGUAAAAAAUAAUUAAACAAUACAAGACCAAGGCAAAUAAAAUUGUGUGCACCCAAAAGCUAAGAAAAUGCUUAAGUAUCUCCAACCAAAAAAAAUUUACAGUAGAUAUUUCUAAUAGCGCCACGAACUGUUUAAUAUUAAUGAACACAAGGAGACUUUCAGCAAUAUAAAUGAAGACUAUUGAAGAAGGUCCUAAAUACUCUACUUAAAUCUGAGAUCUAUCAAUCUAAUAUAAUUUUAAAAUGAGAUCUUGGCAGGAGUUAGUGUUAAUGCAAUAAUGAGGAGUGCAUGCUGAAUGUCUUUGUAUAAUACAACAGAAUAAUACAUUAAUGGGGCAGGAAAAAUAACCAGAAUUAUCAAUUUAGUUCUGAGCAGCUUAUUAGCAUU
rnacentral:lncRNA from 1 species